rnacentral:rRNA from 1 species
GAUGAACGCUGGCGGCGUGCCUAAUACAUGCAAGUCGAGCGAACAGACGAGGAGCUUGCUCCUCUGACGUUAGCGGCGGACGGGUGAGUAACACGUGGAUAACCUACCUAUAAGACUGGGAUAACUUCGGGAAACCGGAGCUAAUACCGGAUAAUAUAUUGAACCGCAUGGUUCAAUAGUGAAAGACGGUUUUGCUGUCACUUAUAGAUGAAUCCGCGUCGCAUUAGCUAGUUGGUAAGGUAACGGCUUACCAAGGCAACGAUGCGUAGCCGACCUGAGAGGGUGAUCGGCCACACUGGAACUGAGACACGGUCCAGACUCCUACGGGAGGCAGCAGUAGGGAAUCUUCCGCAAUGGGCGAAAGCCUGACGGAGCAACGCCGCGUGAGUGAUGAAGGUCUUCGGAUCGUAAAACUCUGUUAUUAGGGAAGAACAAAUGUGUAAGUAACUAUGCACGUCUUGACGGUACCUAAUCAGAAAGCCACGGCUAACUACGUG